rnacentral:rRNA from 1 species
GGGAAAACUGGGUCUAAUACUGGAUGCUACAUGUCACCGCAUGGUGGUGUGUGGAAAGGGUUUACUGGUCUUGGAUGGGCUCACGGCCUAUCAGCUUGUUGGUGAGGGUAAUGGCUCACCAAGGCGACGACGGGUAGCCGGCCUGAGAGGGUGACCGGCCACACUGGGACUGAGACACGGCCCAGACUCCUACGGGAGGCAGCAGUGGGGAAUAUUGCACAAUGGGCGAAAGCCUGAUGCAGCGACGCCGCGUGAGGGAUGACGGCCUUCGGGUUGUAAACCUCUUUCAGCAGGGAAGAAGCCACAAGUGACGGUACCUGCAGAAGAAGCGCCGGCUAACUACGUGCCAGCAGCCGCGGUAAUACGUAGGGCGCAAGCGUUGUCCGGAAUUAUUGGGCGUAAAGAGCUCGUAGGCGGUUUGUCGCGUCUGCUGUGAAAGCCCGGGGCUUAACCCCGGGUGUGCAGUGGGUACGGGCAGACUAGAGUGCAGUAGGGGAGACUGGAAUUCCUGGUGUAGCGGUGGAAUGCGCAGAUAUCAGGAGGAACACCGAUGGCGAAGGCAGGUCUCUGGGCUGUUACUGACGCUGAGGAGCGAAAGCAUGGGGAGCGAACAGGAUUAGAUACCCUGGUAGU